GUUGUAACCCUAACCCUCUAAAUUCCCAUUCGUAGAAUUUGCGCUAAGCUAUUGUAAUGGACAUUCCAUCAUAUUAGAGUCUACAGUGCAUUCAUAUUCGUCCCCUCAUUCCAGAUUUCUUUUUUAGUUUUAAUCUCAGUAGUUCGAUUUCGAUUUUCCAGCAUAAAUUGAAGUUACUUUUCGAGGAAAGGAAUCGAAGGAAUUUUCGGACAAUUCCAACAAAUUGAAGGUGUGGAUAGAACUAAUUGAUGCAUUGCAAAGUUGACCCAUAAGUCUGAAAUUUGUUAAGCUUGGAAGCUCUCACUUUUAUCUUUGAAAAUGCAAGAUCCUAGGAUGUUGAACCCACGAAAGCAGAAGUCCCAAAGACCAAUUAUUUCACAAGCACCAGAAGAAUUUAUGAGAGGACAAGGCUCAUCAACAUCUGCAUUUCCUGUAAGAAGAGCACAGAAAGUUUCCAGAAAGGGUAUGAAGAAUGAUGUGUCACUGUUGUACAGACCGCAAGAGAGAUUAAAAUCCUCAGGGCAGUUAGAAUCCUCUACCACUGUGAAUGAGUAUACGGCUCUCCGACGCAAGUUUUUGUUGCUGGAGGAAGAGAGCUGCAACUUAGGAAUUGAGUUGAGAGAGGCUGAAGACGAUACGAAGAGUCUAGAGGAUGAGAAACUUGAACUCUUGGAUCAGUUGGUUGUGUUAGAAGGCCUGGUUGAUCCCUCGGAAGUGCACAAUCAGUAGUCGAGUUUCUAUGAGGCUUACCCUUGAUACAUUGUAAAGCUAUAUUCUUCCAUUUGUAAAUUGGUGCUAAAUGCAAACAGGAAGAUGGGUCAAACAAUUACAUAAAAUACCAGAUUACUAUAUUUAUAGAGAUACAAGUAUUUAGUGUGUUAGCUGUGUAUAUUUUACUCGCGGUUAAAACAUGCUUUCUAUUCAUGGAAACGAUACUUUUUGCUGGCUUUUGCUUCAUGGACAUAUAUUUGUAAUGAAUCUCAUAUGAUAUAUAUGGCUUUAAUCGUCCCAGUUAUCACAA